UGGGUUAAGUCCCGCAACGAGCGCAACCCUUAUCCUUUGUUGCCAGCGGUCCGGCCGGGAACUCAAAGGAGACUGCCAGUGAUAAACUGGAGGAAGGUGGGGAUGACGUCAAGUCAUCAUGGCCCUUACGACCAGGGCUACACACGUGCUACAAUGGCGCAUACAAAGAGAAGCGACCUCGCGAGAGCAAGCGGACCUCAUAAAGUGCGUCGUAGUCCGGAUUGGAGUCUGCAACUCGACUCCAUGAAGUCGGAAUCGCUAGUAAUCGUGGAUCAGAAUGCCACGGUGAAUACGUUCCCGGGCCUUGUACACACCGCCCGUCACACCAUGGGAGUGGGUUGCAAAAGAAGUAGGUAGCUUAACCUUCGGGAGGGCGCUUACCACUUUGUGAUUCAUGACUGGGGUGAAGUCGUAACAAGGUAACCGUAGGGGAACCUGCGGUUGGAUCACCUCCUU
rnacentral:rRNA from 1 species